rnacentral:misc_RNA from 1 species
AACGCACAUUGCGCCCUUUGGCAUUCCGAAGGGCAUGCCUGUUCGAGCGUCAUUAUCACCCUUCAAGCCCUGCGCUUGGUGUUGGACGGUCUGGUCGCAUAUCUCGUUCGACCCCUCCUAAAGACAAUGACGGCGGCCUGUUGGUUCCCCCGGUACACUGAGCUUCUUAACUGAGCACGUAUCGGACAAAGGGCGCCCGGGCCACGGUCCUCUCCCGUAACGGGAAACCCUUUUUUAUUAAGGUUGACCUCGGAUCAGGUAGGAAUACGCGCUGAACUUAA